GGUCUCCAGGAUCGCGCCCUGUGCCAAAGGCAGGCGCCAAACCGCUGCGCCACCCAGGGAUCCCCGAUGAUGAUUAUUAUUAUUACUACUACUACUACUACUACUAUUAUUAUUAUUUUAAAAAGGUCCUUUUUAACCUCUAAGCACUUUACAUCCAUUCUUCUGGGUAAUCCCUCAUCACAACUCUUGGAAUUUUCUACAUCAUAGGUGUUUAGAAAACUGUUGUUGAAUGAAUAAAGGAGUGAUCAGAUGAGUGAGAUAAUGAAGAGAAGAAAGUCUAUUUUGAUGGCCUAGAGCAGAAGACCUGUGGAAGUACAUUGACAAGAUAUGGCCAAAGACUGUACGGAAGAGAGGUGGUGUCUAAGCCAACUCCAGAUUUGGUGUUUAGAGACCAGAAAUGAAUGACCAAGAGAAACUGGAAGUCAGAAGAAUUAGCUUUUACUUCUGAAAGCUUUAUGGAGGUAUCAUUGACAAAAUUGUAAGAGAAGCUGCACAUUGUGAUGACUUGAUAUAUGUGUAUGGUGGGCUACCUGGAUAGCCCAGUGGUUGAGCAUCUGCCUUCGACUCAGGGUGUGAUCCUGGAGUCCUGGGAUGGAGUCCCACAUCAGGCUGCCUGCGGGGAGCCUGCAUCUCUCUCUGCCUCUCUCCAUGUG